AGACUGAAAGAGAAACAGGGACUUUGGGAGAUCAUUGUAAGUUAAUCACUGCUCAGAUCACCGUAAGUUAACGGCUCAGGCGGGCCAUCAGGCAGGCUGGCUGGACUAGCGGAGGCUGGAGAUAUGCCUCAGGUCAUUGGUCAGGAUCUGGUGAGGCCUGCAUUCAGGUUCGGACCACGGGCAGGAGUUUAAGGACCCCCCUUCUGCUGAUUUGAAUAAGCCUAUGACCGAAUACCAAGGAGGAGCUACUACGCCAAGACAGAGGAAGAGGUGGUCUUUUCCACUCCCCUUGAGUGAAAAAGACUGUAGCCCACUGGAUCCUGGGGCAGAGCCUCCUUGCCUGCCUGCUUGCAUCUCUCACAAGCGUCCUAUCUUGAUAAAUCUACUUCUUGCCUGUCACUUUGUCUCUCACUGAAUUCAUUCUGUGCGGAGGCUUGAAGAACCUGAACCUCAGCAAGUCCAGACACUGGUGCCACGGGGAGCCUGACUGCAUGCAAAUACACAGAAAGAAGGCGGGAAGGCAAGAAGGCUGUCUCAUGAAUGCCAGCAGCUCCCCAGUCUCCACACUGUAAUAUUUUCAGCUCAGCAGCUGAGCAGUGACCAGAGAGAGGGCAAGCCAGGAGAAAGAGCUGGGGUGGGACAGUCUGCAAACCUGAGAGAGCAUCCCAGACUGCUGGGAUUAAGUUGGAUUUCCAUCAGCUGCAUGAAACACACAGUUCAAGUCAAUCGGGGCCAGAGGUGGAGAAGGGCAGGUCUGUGGAAAAGACAAGGGGCCCUUCCACCAGAGCCUGCUCUAACUGGCCCACCAUGGAAGUCCCCAGCCCCAAUGAAUCUCGGCUGUUCACCUACACACUGGGCAAAAAUGUUCUGCCUCCAGGCUGGCUCAGCGCCACUCCCUCCCCCCGGGGAGCCAGGCGAGCAGGUAGGAUGUGUGUGGACCCUCUGAAGCCUACCCAGAAAUGACCUCACUGUUGUGUUUGAACGGAAAGCCACAUUAUUCCCAGUUGGUUAAUCCACUUUGUGCUCAGAUCUGAAAGCACUGUUUGUUUUCCAUCUUCAUGGAGAGCCAGUCUCUAUGGAAAGGCCAAGCAGUAUCCUUUGAGUUGGAACUCUACCACGACCGCUGUGAAGGCGUGGGCUCCUCCCAUCAGCUGUCACUUGGAUGUCCAAGCAUCUCUCUGGAACUCAGCUUCAGCUGUUCCAGAACCCUGCUGCCCAUCUCCGAGUCCCAAACCUUCUGAGAGAGACACGUCGCUCCUGUCAUAAUGAAGGGCGUGCUGCGAGCUAUUUUUCCUGGAGCGAGGAUGAGUUUGCACGGAUCUUUCUCACCUCCACGGGCAUUUCUGCUGUGCCCAGAAAAACACAUCUGUGACACAGGGGUAAGGUGACAGAGUUCUUUGCCAAGCUAACUGUGCCCUGGAGGAUCCACCCUCGCUCCUGCCACACGACAUAUUGUUAGCCCCCUCUUCUCACACUGAAAGGAGGACAGGAUGGGAGGUGACUCCGAGAGUCCACCCAUAGGGAAAGACCACACACGCUACAUCGGGAGACCAAUGGAGCAAACUUUGGCAGGAAAGCUAUGGAAAGUCUUAUUUUGUAAUGGCACUGAAACCACUUAUAAAAGGAAAGUUUUACAAAA
rnacentral:lncRNA from 1 species